rnacentral:rRNA from 1 species
GUGAGGAAUAUUGGACAAUGGGCGCAAGCCUGAUCCAGCCAUGCCGCGUGCAGGAAGACGCAUCUAUGGUGUGUAAACUGCUUUUGUACGGGAAGAAACACUCCCUCGUGAGGGAGCUUGACGGUACCGUAAGAAUAAGGAUCGGCUAACUCCGUGCCAGCAGCCGCGGUAAUACGGAGGAUCCAAGCGUUAUCCGGAAUCAUUGGGUUUAAAGGGUCCGUAGGCGGUUUAAUAAGUCAGUGGUGAAAGCCCAUCGCUCAACGAUGGAACGGCCAUUGAUACUGUUAGACUUGAAUUACAUGGAAGUAACUAGAAUAUGUAGUGUAGCGGUGAAAUGCUUAGAUAUUACAUGGAAUACCAAUUGCGAAGGCAGGUUACUACUUGUGGAUUGACGCUGAUGGACGAAAGCGUGGGGAGCGAACAGGAUUAGAAACCCGGGUAGUCC